GCUAUACAUGCAAGUCGAACGGUUGGUAGCAAUACCAAUAGUGGCGCACGGGUGCGUAACGCGUAACCAACCUACCCGAAUCUGGGGGAUAGCCCGCCGAAAGGCGGAUUAAUACCGCAUAAAACUGCAGCACGGCAUCGUGUAACAGUUAAAGAUUUAUUGGAUUCGGAUGGGGUUGCGUGCCAUUAGCUAGUUGGCGGGGUAACGGCCCACCAAGGCGACGAUGGCUAGGGGAGCUGAGAGGCUGGUCCCCCACACGGGCACUGAGAUACGGGCCCGACUCCUACGGGAGGCAGCAGUAGGGAAUAUUGGGCAAUGGACGAGGGUCUGACCCAGCCAUGCCGCGUGCAGGAUGAAGGCUUUCUGAGUCGUAAACUGCUUUUACCAGGGAAAAAAAAAGGGGAUGCGUCCUCUACUGACGGUACCUGGUGAAUAAGCACCGGCUAACUCCGUGCCAGCAGCCGCGGUAAUACGGAGGGUGCAAGCGUUGUCCGGAUUUAUUGGGUUUAAAGGGUGCGUAGGCGGCUGAUUAAGUCUGGGGUGAAAGCCCGUUGCUCAACAACGGAACUGCCCUGGAAACUGGUUAGCUUGAGUACAGACGAGGGUGGCGGAAUGGAUACUGUAGCGGUGAAAUGCAUAGAUAGUAUCCAGAACCCCGAU
rnacentral:rRNA from 1 species